rnacentral:rRNA from 1 species
GACGAACGCGGCGGCGUGCCUAAUACAUGCAAGUCGAACGAGAGCGACCGGUGCUUGCACUGGUCAAUCUAGUGGCGAACGGGUGAGUAACACGUGGGUAACCUGCCCAUCAGAGGGGGAUAACAUUCGGAAACGGAUGCUAAAACCGCAUAGGUCUUCGAGCCGCAUGGCUUGAAGAGGAAAAGAGGCGCAAGCUUCUGCUGAUGGAUGGACCCGCGGUGCAUUAGCUAGUUGGUGAGGUAACGGCUCACCAAGGCCGUGACGCAUAGCCGACCUGAGAGGGUGAUCGGCCACAUUGGGACUGAGACACGGCCCAAACUCCUACGGGAGGCAGCAGUAGGGAAUCUUCCGCAAUGGACGCAAGUCUGACGGAGCAACGCCGCGUGAGUGAAGAAGGUUUUCGGAUCGUAAAACUCUGUUGUUAGAGAAGAACAAGUGCUAGAGUAAACUGUAAGCGCCCUG